rnacentral:lncRNA from 1 species
GUGCACACAGAGUAUAUCUCUCUCUCUUUACAGCCUCCAUCUAUAGGCACAGAAUCUGUGAAUCAAUUUUGAAUUUUUCAAAUGGAACAAUGUUAAGAUCUGGGUUUGUUGUUUUCCAAGUUUAAAUCGAUUUUGUGCUCAUAAAGGUAUAAGCUGACCCACGAAUAGUCAAACUGUGUCAUGAAAUUUGUCAAAUAAAGUUAUUUGUAUACUUCUCAUAUGAGCUUAAAUAAUGAAGACUUUCUGUUUGUUUUUCAAAUUAAAUAAAUGCUAACGUUUGUGAUUUAUGCAUUUUAUGCUUCUCAAAAUCAAAUUGGUACCACAACACCACCUCCAUCGUCGGCCACCGCGAAGCCAUCGUUUGCACGGCGACGGCGGCUCUAGUGGCUCCGGUGUUUACAACAACAACCUCCAAUGACGACGAUAACAGCAUGUGGGUUUAGAUCGGCGACGGGGCAGGCUAUUUCCGAUUGUUUAAGUUGACCACAGUCCAUAUCUACUCUUGCAUGUGGUUUUCUUGGCCCGAUCUGUGGCAGCUAGGGUUUCAAGCGAUGAUAGAGCUAUGGUACUAAUCGGGUGAUUAGCACGGAGCCGGCAGGAGCUUGCUUUCUUCCGAUCUUUGUUGGUUCGAAGCAUCCAUGGCAGAAAACGGAAGUAACUCAGUUUGCAAUCAAAGAAGAACGUUGAAAGACACAUCAUUUUCCUUUUUCAUUUGUCCAAAUCUUUUUCAAAAGCAUAUAUCCAGUUUCUAGAAUCAAUUUCUGUUUUUAUUCUAACUAUUCGUGAAGAUUCGAUGGCAGAUUGUGGUGGUUACGUGCACUUGCGCCGAAACCGUCAUCAUCGUUGCCGGUUGUAGUAGAGUGAAAAGUUUGGUGUUUGUUAGUUACAGCGGCAGUGACAAAGAUGUAAUAUGAGAAUAUGUGGGGUGUGGUGUUUGAGGGUAUUAAUGGAGCAAUAAGACUCAAUGUUUUG